rnacentral:rRNA from 1 species
CCUACGGGCGGCAGCAGUGAGGAAUAUUGGUCAAUGAGCGCGAGCCUGAACCAGCCAAGUAGCGUGAAGGAUGACUGUCCUAUGGGUUGUAAACUUCUUUUAUCAAGGAAUAAAGUGCGGCACGCGUGCCGUUUCGUAUGUACUCUAUGAAUAAGGAUCGGCUAACUCCGUUCCAGCAGCCGCGGUAAUACGGAGGAUCCGAGCGUUAUCCGGAUUUAUUGGGUUUAAAGGGAGCGUAGAUGGGUUGUUAAGUCAGUUGUGAAAGUUUGCGGCUCAACCGUAAAAUUGCAAUUGAUACUGGCAGUCUUGAGUGAAGUUGAGGUAGGCGGAAUGCGUGGUGUAGCGGUGAAAUGCUUAGAUAUCACGAAGAACUCCGAUUGCGAAGGCAGCUUACUAAACUGCCACUGACAUUGAUGCUCGAAAGUGUGGGUAUCGAACAGGAUUAGAUACCCCUGUAGUC